ACCUCCAGGUUUCAAUGAAAUGCAGAGCUACAUUUCACCUCUGUUUCACAUUUUGGGGUCUGAAGAGAUUCCAAACUGCAGUUAAUAAGCACCUUGGCAGCACAGCAGAGCAGAAGCCUAAAGAGCUCCAGGAGGUCAUUUGCAGACACCUUGCCAAAGAGAAUGCAGAGCUGCUGGAGACUUA